rnacentral:rRNA from 1 species
GUGGGGAAUUUUGGACAAUGGGGGCAACCCUGAUCCAGCCAUGCCGCGUGCGGGAAGAAGGCCUUCGGGUUGUAAACCGCUUUUAGUCGGAAAGAAAAGGCACGCCCUAAUACGGCGUGUUCUUGACGGUACCGGCGGAAUAAGCACCGGCUAACUACGUGCCAGCAGCCGCGGUAAUACGUAGGGUGCGAGCGUUAAUCGGAAUUACUGGGCGUAAAGCGUGCGCAGGCGGUUCGUUGUGUCUGAUGUGAAAUCCCCGGGCUCAACCCGGGAACUGCAUUGGAAACUGGCGGACUUGAGUGUGGCAGAGGGGGGUGGAAUUCCGCGUGUAGCAGUGAAAUGCGUAGAUAUGCGGAGGAACACCGAUGGCGAAGGCAGCCCCCUGGGCCAACACUGACGCUCAGGCACGAAAGCGUGGGGAGCAAACAGGAUUAGAUACCCGAGUAGUCC